AGUUCGGUCUCUAUCUAUCGUGGGCGCAGGAAAUUUGCGUGGCUCUGACACUAGUACGAGAGGACCGUGUUGGACCGACCUCUGGCCUGCCGGCUGUUCCGCCAGGAGCACCGCCGGGUAGCCACGUCGGGAUCGGAUAAGCGCUGAAAGCAUCUAAGUGCGAAGCCGGCCGCAAGAUUAGAUUUCCCUUGAGGGUCGUCAUAGACGAUGACGUUGAUAGGCUGCAGGUGUAUAGACGGCGACGUCACAGCCGAGCAGUACUAAUUGCCCGAGACUUCCGCCUCU
rnacentral:rRNA from 1 species